rnacentral:rRNA from 1 species
GAUAAACGCUGGCGGCGUGCUUCAGGCAUGCAAGUCGAACGGACCUUCGGGUCAGUGGCGGACGGGUGAGUAACACGUAAGCAACCUGCCCAAAAGUGUGGAAUAACCCACCGAAAGGUGAGCUAAUACCGCAUGUGAUGGGUCUUCCCUGGAGGGCUCAUGAAAGGCUUCGGUCGCUUUUGGAGGGGCUUGCGUUCGAUUAGCUAGUUGGUGGGGUAACGGCCUACCAAGGCAACGAUCGAUAGUUGGUCUGAGAGGACGGUCAACCACACGGGGACUGAGAUACGGCCCCGACUCCUACGGGAGGCAGCAGCUAGGAAUCUUGGGAAUGGGCGAAAGCCUGACCCAGCAACGCCGCGUGGGCGAUGAAGGCCUUAGGGUCGUAAAGCCCUUUUGCGGGGGACGAUGAUGACGGUACCCCGCGAAUAAGCCACGGCUAACUACGUGCCAGCAGCCGCGGUAAUACGUAGGUGGCGAGCGUUGUCCGGAUUUACUGGGCGUAAAGGGCGCGCAGGCGGUCUGUUUAGUCUAGGGUGAAAGCUCCCGGCUCAACUGGGAGAGGUCCCUGGAUACUG